UCGGCCCAGACCCAGUAGAGUGUGAUUCUAUCUUCUUUUCUAUUAUUCUUUCCACUUUUCCGAGUCACUGGAGAGACUCGCGAAAUGAGAAAGAAUAGAAUGGGUAUUCUCAGGAGAGAGCAGACCACCAUCCAUCCAAGACAAGCCAGACCAGGCAAGGGUUAGAGGGACAUGAGGAUUUCUCCCUGAAGAUCUCGGGCCGGAGUCCAGGUGUGGUGGUGGUGGGGUCUAGGGCAGCAUCCCAAACACAGUGACGGGUGGCCAAGGACCGGAGGUUAAGAGCUGCCUCUCUAGUGGAAGUCAGGCCCCUGAGCGCUGGGUCAUCUGCUGCUGGGGUGGGGGCCCCAGCCUCCCUGUGUUCUCCUAUCUCAGUACCAAGUGGAGCCACAAAGAAGAAGCAACACAAGCAAGAAAAAUCAGACCGUGAAAGGUUUCAGAGAAUUUCUGAACAAUCUGGAAGAGGUUCAGGACCUGUUCUCCCUUCUGGAAAGCCACCUGGAGAGGCUCUCUGACCAGAGGGGCUUUCACCAGUUCUUACGACAAGCAGCCCCUGGGUAGGUGCGCCAAGGGGUGCCAGCUGGAGCCCAUCAGCCAUGCAGGGAGCCUCUGCAAGAUGCCUCUCCCGCUCUGGCCCCAUCACCUGCCCUAACUCCAGUGAUGGUGUCCCCUCGGCCUCUGGCCUCUACCCUGUUAGCAGGACCAAUGACCUCCUCAAUUUCCAUUGCUUCACACUCCUUCCUGACUACUUCCUGGCUAGGAGAGCCUUUCCUCCCCCGGGAUGGCUUUCCACACCAGCCACUUGCUCUUCCCCCUUCCCCACCAUGUCUCUCUCUUUCAGAGACCUCCCCUGGGCCUCUGAUAGCCUCCUUGGCCCCAGAUUGGCCAGACUCUCCUUUGACUCUUCCUCAGUGUGACUCAAGGGCACCCCUGCCGUGCCUCAUCCCACAGAGCUCGGCUCUACACAUGCCUUGGUCAGCUGACAGGUCAACUUCUCCUGUCCCAGCCAUCUCGGGCCUGGGCCGCUCACACUGCCCCAUUUUGGCCCUGUCCUGGUGGCAGGCAGCUGACAAUGCCUGGAACCUGUCCACUUCAACACGCUUGGAGUCCUGUCAAGCGCCUCUGUCCCAUGGCCCACCAGUAGCCUUGUUCUGGGGAGACUCCACACACAGACAGGAAGAGACUAGGAUCCCCCUCUUCCAUCAACCUGGAUGUCCAGAAGCUUCUGGAAAUACUCAUUGCCAAGAGAAAAGAACUGAGGUCUUGGAGGGAGAAGGACAAGAAAGAAAGGUCAAAAUACCAGUUGACCUCUUCCGGGAGAAUGUUCAAGUCCCCAGGUGAUGGGCAGGACACCAUGGGCCACCUGUCCUUCUGGAUCAUGAGGGGCAAAGCAAAACAGCUGCUUGGUCCUGAGAAGCCCCCAUGUCCCAAGAUUCCAAGGGACAAUUUAGAGAAGAAAUGCCUCUAGCUCUUCUGGGGUCUCCCCUUUCUGCACAGCGAGUCCCUGGUGGCCACUGUCAGGGUGACUGAUCCCCCACUGGAGUUCCCGUCUGUCAUAUUCAAUGAGCUCUCUCAUGCCUUGCCACUCCAGAUUCAGGGCAACAUGGCUCCACGCCUCUCCCUGACCCACGACUUAAAUGACCCUUUGGCCCAGCCCCAACCCUUGACCCUGAGAUUGUCCCAUACCCUGCCCCUUCUUCCAUCUCAGCCCCAACCCCUCCCUCUGACUCAUCCCAAGCCCCUCCCUCUGGAUCAGUCCAGCUCCCACCCCUAACUGAGCCCCAGAUGCAGGCAGGCCCUAUACCCUCUGUCCCAGUUGGAAGCUCCUCUCUGCCACCCGAGAUGGGGAGGUAUGAGGUGUCUUGCCCUGUAGCCCAGAAGACACUGUCUUACAUGCCAACUACUUUUCAAAACCUGGAAUGUCACUUUCUGGAGAGGCAACUAGAAAGGGGCAAGGUACCCCCUAUGAUGAAAAGAUCUCAGCAAGUCUUUACCCAAGGUCCUCCUGACCUUCUGCAGGGUGGCCAGGCCCCCGAGGGCCAUGGGUCAGUCUCUGUCCUUCCUGGAGAAUUGAUCGACUCUGAGCUCUGGGAGCAACCGGAUUGACACCUUUGGAAGAGGCUCAUGAAGCAAGGAAGGGGCCCACCCUGCAGGAUCCAGCUAUCCCUAGAGAUACAGCCUCACCAAGAGUUCCAGAAGGUUCCCCAGGCACACAGCUGGCACAGUCCCAAGGCUGAGUCUGAGUCUACGAGUGGAAGCUGCCAGGCCACACAGAAGACUGGGUCCAGGUACCCAGGAAGGACCGUGCCAGGAAAAAGACUGGGCAUGGAUUCAAGGUCCAGUGCAGGGAGGAUCCGGAAAGAUCUACACAAGGGCUCAGAGAGCUCUCCAGAGAAGGCUCCAGGAAGAAAUCUUGAGGAGUCAGACACAGACAUGAAGCCCUCCACAAGCAGUACAGAUGAGAAGCACGUAGAGAAAGACCUGAGAGCCCAUUUCAGAAAGUUGGGGCAGUUCAGAGAGGGUCAGAUGCCUUUGGAUGUUCAUCCUUCCAGGCUUGCUGCCCACCACGCCUCGGACCUUCCCGGAAAGCCAAGCCCUCAUGGGAAACCUGGAAAGCCAGCGCUUUCCAAGUGCUGGGAGCCCUCCCACGACUUCUCCAUCCUCAGUCCAUAUGCUCAGCGGAUGCUAGAAGCACAUAUCAAAAGGCUCAGGGUGUAGCACCGUUGGGGCCUCCCCCUCAAGGUUCUCAACACUAUAAACCUCUUCAAGUUGAAGAAGGGCUUCCUCCUCUUCCAGUCCUUCCCUUCCCGCUCAGCCACCUGCAUAUCCAAGGCUGGCUUAGGCACCAAGUUCGUGGGAAAUCCUUCUCAGCCCUAUCAAGGAGAGGUGAUGAAAGAGUCUUACCCCACCUGGGGGGGGUCCCCUUGGUGCUCCCCAGCCUACGUGUGAGGAAAUCCAGCAGGCUCUGGAAGGGACCUCACCUGGGGGUGGCCCUCUAGCUGUACAGGGGCCCAGGCCACCUUCUCGGACCUUCACAUACAGCUUUGUGGGAAGAAUCUGGCACAAUGAGACUGCCUCUAAAACACUUAUGAACAGCAACUUGGAGUCAAGUCCAAGUCCAGCAAUGGCCACAAAGGAGCUAAGGAGGGUGAAUGGGGGUCUGGCCUCACGGGACAUGACCAUGCUAGAGCUCAACUUAAAGCCCCAGAAUUUGAGUGCCAACGAUCCUGGGGAGGUGGGGGAGUUCAAGGAGGCCCCUGCCUGGGGAGUCACCUUAGAAUCCUGUGUGCUGGCCAACAACCAAGGCCUCCGUGGCAAGCUGAGAAGUUCAGGGUCUUCAGGGAAAAGUGACAGUCCCUUGCAAUGUACAAAGUUGGUCACCUGAGACCUCGAAGAGCUACACCUUGAGGUACGGUGCAGGGGAUUGGAGUCCCAGAAGUUGGAGUCAGAGAACCGGCCUCGUGAAGCCGGGGUCCUCCUUCAAGACUGUGCGAUGGAGAGUCUCCUUCAAGAGUCAGUCCAACAUGUUCCUCGCUGCUGACAUUUUGGCUUCUCAGGGAUCUCUGUCUAGCUUCCAGAGCAGGUCCAGUGAAGACACAUUUACUUCCGAGGUGCUGCAUGGCAAAAGAUCCCGUGACCAGAGCCCCCACAGGCAGCUAGGACCCCUGGGACUGCAGCACCAGUGUAAGAGCCUGAGCAGGUCAUGUGUCCCCUGUGAGAGGAGAGCGAGCUCCUGGAGGUCCCCCUCGAGAGAGCCUGCCAAAGAGUUUUCAGAAAUGAAGCUCCUCCAGAUCACUGAAGUGAGACGUCCAGUCCAGAGCAAGGAGUCAGGAGAGGCCUCGGGAAGCAAGGCCUGUGAGAGCUUGCUGAAGAAGGAGAAGGCGCCUCCGGAAAACUAUUCAGGAGAAGGAUAAUGCACUUGCUCCAGUGGUUCUUUCCCAGUAGAGGCAGAGGGAAAGAUUCCCUUCAAAAGGGCAAGGCUUCAUCAUCCCAGGGCCAGGGACAAGUCAUGGGCAGGUCAGCCAUGGACAGUGCUUCUGCGGAGGCUCAGGUGGUCGUGAGGGCUGUUGGGCAUAUCGUAGAGGAGAAAAUGUUGCCUUACCAGGGACUCAGGGUCCUGGAGGUCGGCUGGUGCAAAAAGGAUCUCCAGGCUUCAGCAGACCCCAAUGUCUGCUAUCACAGGGUUCUCUCCUACCAAGAGCAGAGGAGAGUCAUGAGGGAGACAGCAAGUCCACAGGGCACCCCCAGGGGCCACAACUAUACCUGGUGGCCCUUCCCCACCAGGGUGCCAGAGUGCCCGAGCAGACCCUGCCAGAAUGAGGUCCCUGGUGCCGGGCCCUUCAGGCCCCACCCUGCAGGCCCAUUGACCCAGGCGCUGCCUCCUUAAAAAAGACAGUUCACCUGGCCAACCAGUGUAUGCUUCUCAUGCCUUUCCCAGCAGGACAACUUUCCUCCAAGAAAAAACACAAACGGUGCAGAUAAAAACUUUUUUUUCCUCAUGUUAGUACAUCAUCUAUGGGCUAAUGGCUUCUUCAUACCACAGUUACUUAGCUUCCCCAAAAUAAUUUUAUUUUUUUUUCCCUCAUGAGUGGCGCUGGCCUCUGUGUGUGCCCUGCUGCGUUGGGAGGGA